rnacentral:ncRNA from 1 species
AGCGAUACUGACGUGCAAAUCGUUCGUCUGACUUGGGUAUAGGGGCGAAAGACUAAUCGAACCAUCUAGUAGCUGGUUCCCUCCGAGUUUUCCCUCAGGAUAGCUGGAGCCCAUUACGAGUUCUAUCAGGUAAAGCCAAUGAUUAGAGGCAUUGGGGACGCAACGUCCUCGACCUAUUCUCAAACUUUAAAUAGGUAGGAUGGCUCGGCUG